GACCUGUUGCUGAGAGGCAAAGGGCAGCUGGGCUAAAUUAGUUGAGCAAGUUUGAGUCUGGAUAGUGUCAUUAGGAAAAAAGCAGAACUAUGCCAUAAACCCUAAUGAAUGCAUUAAUGGAUGGCUUGUGCCUCUCAAAGGGGAAAAGCGGUUUAAAUAAAGUUAUUAACACAGCCCACCUGUGUUUGGCUCUUGGACUAUGUUGUUUAAAUAGCCCAUUAACUCUUGAAGUAACUAAUCUUGAAAGUGAAUCUAGCCUUUCUGAAGUAGACAUUUAACUACAUUCAUAUAAUUCAAUUAGAUUCAGCAUUCUUAGUCCAAAGGCAGUACUCUAUGCUUUCAUCUCUAAUAAUGGAGCACAGACAAACUUGGUUAAUCUGGUGUUAAAAAAAUAAUAUGCUUUUGUAAUCCUAACCAAAAAUAAAUUGCUGGACUAUGGCACAAAAUAUGAUGCUCAGAGCUCAGUAUAUUAUUACAUUAUUAUUAUAAUUUAAUACAGAAGGUGAAAUUUACAUCUAAUGCUUAAGUCAAUAUGACAACAGCAAAGUGACUUUUAGAGCUGUGCUUUCCUUAAUCUCACAAUAGACUAUUGAUGUUUCUUACUCUGUGCAAACUGUUCUUUCUUGAUUUAUUUCUGGUAGCAGAUUUUGGUCAUAGAAUUAUUUCGCUUUUUGAAAACAAACAAACAAAUGUGGCCUCAGGCAGUUGAUCCAGUUAAUAAAUAGUUAAAGCAAAUUCAUUAGGAAACAGGAAUUUUAUAGAUUUAGUUAAAUGUUUCUUCCUAUUUAUGUCACUGAGAAAUGAUAAAAUUCCUUUUAUCACUCUACAACUUGUUAAUGUUUUACCCCAGGACCACUUCAUCUGUAAUAAACAUCUUAACAAAAUAUGCAUCCCUAGGGAGGAACUGUUAAUUUCCUUAAGGCCUCACACAUGUAAUAGGUUUUUAUUGCAUGCAGGUGCUUUGUGAAAUUGCAUUGACUUGUAAUAAAUGUCCAGUAAAGAGCAGGUAGCACCUACAAGGGGGAAGUGUUUGUGCACCUGUCUGAAGAGAGACUUAACACACCCUAAUCCUCCAUGGGCUUCUUCUCAGCUCAGCAUACGAAGAUCAUUGAGUCUCACCUUAAAGGGUGUCUGCUGCAACUAGUCACAACAAGUUUUUCUUCUGAUGAGCUAACAAUGGCUCUCCUAGCACCAGGGAUGAUCCUAUACCCCCAGCCAUCUGCAGCGCAGCACUGCACUAGUGAUGGAGAACCUCAAGCGAGCUGGAGGUUUGCCUGAAGUGAAGUAUCCUGAGUCUGUUAGAUGAACCAGGCUGGAUCUAAGGUACCACAGGUUCCAGAACUCAGGCAGCCACAGAAAAGUGCAGGCCUCCUGCUGCAGACUCCAGAAGAAAAUCCAUUGGCAGCAGCAUGAUGGUCCCACAGUCCCCAGCAGGAAAGCUGCCAGCUCCACAAACUGCUACAUCCCAUUGUAAUUCAAGACUUCAGUUGGAGAGACUUAUUCGCCCAGAUAGCGAACUGCUUGCUUUCUUUAGUUUGUCCGAUAGGACGCUCUAGAUGGCUAAUGUGUCAUAGACAGCAACAGACUCUCCUUCACAUGAGGCUCUGCGUGAGCCAUGUCCAUUGUUUUGUGCACAAUAAAUAGAACAUGUUGGAAAUUAA